rnacentral:rRNA from 1 species
AUGCCUGUCGCGGGGGACUAUACUCAGCAGGCUCACACCACGAAUCAGGAAUUUUGGUUCUGGAAAAGGAUGCAGGGACGGGUGUGGUGCACAGUAUUGAGGGGGUGCAUGGCAUUUUUCCCCCAUGGGACCUUCAAAAAUGUAGUUGGCUGGUGCGCUUGUGCAUUAAAUGAGUCAAAUGAAAUUGAUUUUUUUUCAAAAAAUUGGACCUGGCGCUGUCAGCACAAAAAGAUAGCCACAUUAGCUGGCCUUGAUAUUUUGGUCUCGGUAGUCUUGCUGCCGUCAGUGGCUCGUAUUUAG